ensembl:lncRNA
AUGGCAAGACGAAAAAAAUCGGCAAGACGAAAAAAAUGGACAGGACGAACAUGAUAAGUUAAACACACUAAAAAAAAUGACACCUAAUGAAGAAGAAAAAAAGAGUAAAGUUUCUGAAAAUAAAUAUAUACAUAUGAUAAAGAAUGGAUCCAACAAAAAUGAGUUAUAUAAAAAAAAUAAAAAAAAAAAUACAGAUUUAAUCGAUAAUAAUAAUAAUACUACUACUACUUCUACUGCUACUACUACUGCUACUACUACUGCUACUACUACUACUACUACUAUUGAUAAUAAUGUGAAAAUAAAAGCACAGACAGCAGAACAGACAAAAGAAGAAAACUUAAUUGAUAAAAUAAAUGUAAAUAAUAUACUUAAUUCCAAUUUUAAUAACUUUUUAUUAUUAUAUAAAACUAAAAAAAAAGAACCUAUAAAAAAUAAUAAUGAAGAUGAUAAUUUUUUUUAUAUGCUAAAAAAUAAAAAUAUUUUAACUUCGAAAAAUAGAAGUAAUAUAUAUAACGAAAACAAAAAUGUAAGUGAAAAUGUAAAUGAAAACUGUUAUUUUGAAAAUUAUUAUGAACAAUUUAAAAAUUUAAAAAAAAAAGAUCAUGAACAAAUAAAUGGGAACACGAACAAUAAAACUGAUAAAAUAAUUUAUACUCACACGUCCAACAAAAACGUAACUACUAUUAAUGGAAGUAGUGAUAAUGGGGGUAGUAAUAAUUUAAGUAGUGAUAAUUUAAGCAAUGAUAGUAGCAAUAGUAGUAAUAGUAGCAAUAGUAGCAAUAGUAGCAAUAGUAGCAAUAGUAGCAAUAAUAGCAAUAGUAGCAAUAGUAGCAGUAGUAGUAAUAGUAACAAUAGUAGUAAUAGUAACAAUAUUAGUAAUAGUAACAAUAGUAGUAAUAGUAACAAUAGUAGCAAUAGUAGUAACAUAAAUAGCAACAAAAUAGAUAAUGCUGGUAAGGCAUUAAAUAUAUACGAAAACAUAUAUAAAAAAAAAGAAAAACAUAAUAUAUAUAAUAAUAAAGAGAAUGAAAGUUUUCUUUUUAAUAGUGAUGUUGUAUUUAAUAGUAAAAAUAGCAGCUACACAAGAGAUAAUCAUAUGUGUCAGGAGGUAAAUAAAAAUGUAACUAAAGACCAAAGUUAUAAUUCUAGCAGUACCGAUAACAAUAAAAAUGACAACAAAAGUGAAAGUAAUGACGAAGAUAGCGACAUUGAAGAUAUAAAAAAACGUCUUAAAAAACAAUCUUAUAUUAAUAAAAUUAAAAAAAAAAAAAAAAAAAAAAAAAAAAAAAAAAAAAAAAAAAAAAAAAAAAAUUUAAUUUUUGUUAUUUCGAAUGUUUUAUAAUUAUCAUUACUACCAUUGUUACUAUAUUUAUUAUUAUGAUUUUUUUUUGUUUUGUUUUGUUUUUAACCCGUUUGGUUUUAAAUGUUCAUAUAUAUACAUACAUACAUAUUCAUGUGCAUAUUACUUAUAUAUUUUCAUAACAGACAAAUCAUAUUUUAUAUAUUAACGCAUAAUUAUGUGAUUGUUUUUUUUUCUAUAAAUACAUAGAAUACAGUAAAAAUUAACUACAUUCAUGUUUCUUAUGCAAAAAAAACGGUAAUAUAUAUACACCUAUAUAUCUACA